AGUUCCUCAGCCUCAGUGCUGUGAAGGUGACAGCGUGAGGUGACCCAGCUGGCCCCCCGCGAUGCUGGCAGCACGGCGGCUGCUCGGCUGGUCGCUUCCCGCGCGGGUAUCUGUGCGUUUCAGCGGUGACACGCACCCAAGAAAACCUCAUUUGGCUCGCUGAAGGAUGAAGACCGGAUUUUCACCAACCUGUACGGCCGCCAUGACUGGAGGUGAGACAGUGCCCUUAGUGUGUUGGGUCCCGGAGCAAGGCAUCCCCUUCACUGCCUUCCCUAUUCUGUACAGGCUGAAAGGUGCCCUGAGUCGAGGUGACUGGUACAAGACAAAGGAGAUCCUGCUGAAGGGGCCCGACUGGAUCCUGGGUGAGAUCAAGACAUCGGGUUUGCGGGGCCGUGGAGGCGCUGGCUUCCCCACUGGCCUCAAGUGGAGCUUCAUGAAUAAGCCCUCAGAUGGCAGGCCCAAGUAUCUGGUGGUGAACGCAGACGAGGGGGAGCCGGGCACCUGCAAGGACCGGGAGAUCAUACGCCAUGAUCCUCACAAGCUGGUGGAAGGCUGCCUGGUGGGGGGCCGGGCAAUGGGCGCCCGUGCUGCCUAUAUCUACAUCCGAGGGGAGUUCUACAAUGAGGCCUCCAAUCUGCAGGUGGGCAGGGAGAGACGUGGACAGAUGAGAAGGUGCUCAGUGUGCACUCACACACCCCUCACCCAGCACAGUCGUUCUGAGGUGUUAGUACCUGGUCUCUCAGUGGUUGAACUGGGGGAGUGGUGGCCAGUCCUGCAUGCAUCCCAGAUGGGACUUGGCUCCCAAAGCCUCCUUCCAGGGCUCCUAAUGCUGCUGGUGUAAAUUUUUUUGCUUCAAAAAUAUAGUAUUUUUUAUAAUAACAAGUAGUAAGAAGAAAAAACCUAAGUGAAACUACGUGUUUAGCAAGAGAGCUGAAUAAUUGUGAAUAUAAACAAUUCUUAUUUGGAGAAAUUACAUUAUGUUCAUUGCUUGGAACUAUGAAUUAUACUUAUAUCUGUAGGAAAUAUAGAAAAAUAAAAUAGGUUAAGGCAAUAAGGAUAUAGGCAAUUACAUUUUUAUUUUAAUUUUAUAAAGACUUUUAUUUUUCCUCACAGACUAGGGUAGUUAGGAGACCUGAUAAUAGCUACUUCAUUUUUAUUUUCCUGGCAGCAAAGCAGCUUACUUACGUAUUCCUUCUUGCUUAUCUGUUCCAGAUCAUAGUCAAGUUUUCCAAUUCGUUUUACUAAGCUAGAAAAAUUUUUUAUACCAG
rnacentral:sRNA from 1 species